rnacentral:rRNA from 1 species
AGUGAACGCUGGCGGUAGGCCUAACACAUGCAAGUCGAACGGCAGCACAGUAAGAGCUUGCUCUUACGGGUGGCGAGUGGCGGACGGGUGAGGAAUACAUCGGAAUCUACUUUUUCGUGGGGGAUAACGUAGGGAAACUUACGCUAAUACCGCAUACGACCUACGGGUGAAAGCAGGGGAUCUUCGGACCUUGCGCGAUUGAAUGAGCCGAUGUCGGAUUAGCUAGUUGGCGGGGUAAAGGCCCACCAAGGCGACGAUCCGUAGCUGGUCUGAGAGGAUGAUCAGCCACACUGGAACUGAGACACGGUCCAGACUCCUACGGGAGGCAGCAGUGGGGAAUAUUGGACAAUGGGCGCAAGCCUGAUCCAGCCAUAUCGCGUGUGUGAAGAAGGCCUUCGGGUUGUAAAGCCCUUUUGUUGGGAAAGAAAAGCAGCAGGUUAAUACCCCGCUGUUCUGGCGGUACCCAAAGAAUAAGCAACGGCUAACUUCGUG